rnacentral:tRNA from 1 species
CUUAAGUAGUUUAUGUAAAAUAUUAAUUUGUGGGAUUAAAGAGAUAGCUUGUUAUCUUAAGUAA